rnacentral:rRNA from 1 species
CCUACGGGGGGCAGCAGUGAGGAAUAUUGGUCAAUGGACGAGAGUCUGAACCAGCCAAGUAGCGUGAAGGAUGACUGCCCUAUGGGUUGUAAACUUCUUUUGUGCGGGAGCAAUACUGGUCACGUGUGGCCAGACGAGAGUACCGUACGAAUAAGCAUCGGCUAACUCCGUGCCAGCAGCCGCGGUAAUACGGGGGAUGCAAGCGUUAUCCGGAUUUAUUGGGUUUAAAGGGUGCGUAGGCUGUGAGGUAAGUCAGCGGUGAAAUGCCCCCGCUCAACGGGGUGAAGGGCCAUUGAUACUGCCUGGCUGGAAUGCGGAUGCCGUGGGAGGAAUGUGUGGUGUAGCGGUGAAAUGCAUAGAUAUCACACAGAACACCGAUUGCGAAGGCAUCUCACGAAGCCGCGAUUGACGCUGAUGCACGAAAGCGUGGGUAUCAAACAGGAUUAGAUACCCUUGUAGUC